AGUGAACGCUGGCGGUAGGCCUAACACAUGCAAGUCGAACGGCAGCACAGUAAGAGCUUGCUCUUACGGGUGGCGAGUGGCGGACGGGUGAGGAAUACAUCGGAAUCUACUUUUUCGUGGGGGAUAACGUAGGGAAACUUACGCUAAUACCGCAUACGACCUACGGGUGAAAGCAGGGGAUCUUCGGACCUUGCGCGAUUGAAUGAGCCGAUGUCGGAUUAGCUAGUUGGCGGGGUAAAGGCCCACCAAGGCGACGAUCCGUAGCUGGUCUGAGAGGAUGAUCAGCCACACUGGAACUGAGACACGGUCCAGACUCCUACGGGAGGCAGCAGUGGGGAAUAUUGGACAAUGGGCGCAAGCCUGAUCCAGCCAUACCGCGUGGGUGAAGAAGGCCUUCGGGUUGUAAAGCCCUUUUGUUGGGAAAGAAAAGCAGCAGGUUAAUACCCCGCUGUUCUGACGGUACCCAAAGAAUAAGCAGCGGCUAACUUCGU
rnacentral:rRNA from 1 species